CCUACGGGAGGCAGCAGUGGGGAAUAUUGGGCAAUGGGCGCAAGCCUGACCCAGCAACGCCGCGUGAAGGAAGAAGGCUUUCGGGUUGUAAACUUCUUUUGUCAGGGAAGAGUAGAAGACGGUACCUGACGAAUAAGCCACGGCUAACUACGUGCCCGCAGCCGCGGUAAUACGGAGGUGGCAGGCGUUGUCCGGAUUUACUGGGUGUAAAGGGCGUGUAGCCGGGUUGACAAAUCAGAUGUGAAAUCCUGCGGCUUAACCGCAGAACUGCAUUUGAAACUGUUGGUCUUGAGUACUGGAGAGGCAGGCGGAAUUCCUAGUGUAGCGGUGAAAUGCGUAGAUAUUAGGAGGAACCCCAGUGGCGAAGGCGGUCUGCUGGACAGCAACUGACGGUGAGGCGCGAAAGCGUGGGGAGCAAACAGGAUUAGAUACCCCAGUAGUC
rnacentral:rRNA from 1 species